UAGGUAGCGCCUCGUGAAUUCAUCUCCGGGGGUAGAGCACUGUUUCGGCUAGGGGGCCAUCCCGGCUUACCAACCCGAUGCAAACUGCGAAUACCGGAGAAUGUUAUCACGGGAGACACACGGCGGGUGCUAACGUCCGUCGUGAAGAGGGAAACAACCCAGACCGCCAGCUAAGGUCCCAAAGUCAUGGUUAAGUGGGAAACGAUGUGGGAAGGCCCAGACAGCCAGGAUGUUGGCUUAGAAGCAGCCAUCAUUUAAAGAAAGCGUAAUAGCUCACUGGUCGAGUCGGCCUGCGCGGAAGAUGUAACGGGGCUAAACCAUGCACCGAAGCUGCGGCAGCGACGCUGAUGCGUUGUUGGGUAGGGGAGCGUUCUGUAAGCCUGCGAAGGUGGCCUGUGAGGGUUGCUGGAGGUAUCAGAAGUGCGAAUGCUGACAUAAGUAACGAUAAAGCGGGUGAAAAGCCCGCUCGCCGGAAGACCAAGGGUUCCUGUCCAACGUUAAUCGGGGCAGGGUGAGUCGACCCCUAAGGCGAGGCCGAAAGGCGUAGUCGAUGGGAAACGGGUUAAUAUUCCCGUACUUGGUGUUACUGCGAAGGGGGGACGGAGAAGGCUAUGUUGGCCGGGCGACGGUU
rnacentral:rRNA from 2 species